UACGGAGGGUGCGAGCGUUGUCCGGAAUCACUGGGCGUAAAGGGCGCGUAGGCGGUCUGUUAAGCGUGUGGUGAAAGCUCGGGGCUCAACCCCGAGUCUGCCAUGCGAACUGGUGGACUUGAGCACUGUAGAGGCAGGUGGAAUUCCGGGUGUAGCGGUGGAAUGCGUAGAGAUCCGGAAGAACACCGGUGGCGAAGGCGGCCUGCUGGGCAGUUGCUGACGCUGAGGCGCGACAGCGUGGGGAGCAAACGGG
rnacentral:rRNA from 1 species